rnacentral:rRNA from 1 species
UACAGAGGGUGCAAGCGUUAAUCGGAAUUACUGGGCGUAAAGCGUGCGUAGACGGUUACAUAAGUCGGGUGUGAAAGCCCCGGGCUCAACCUGGGAAUUCGCAUUCGAGACUGCGUAGCUAGGGUGCGGAAGAGGGAAGCGGAAUUUCCGGUGUAGCGGUGAAAUGCGUAGAUAUCGGAAGGAACACCAGUGGCGAAAGCGG